rnacentral:rRNA from 1 species
CUGCCCCUGUCAGGGGGACAACCCGCCGAAAGGCGGGCUAAACCCGCGUACAUGCCACCGGGGCAUCCCGGAGGCAGGGAAGGCUUCGGCCGGACAGGGAUGGGCAUGCGGCGCAUUAGGCAGUAGGCGGGGUAACGGCCCACCUAACCGACGAUGCGUAGGGGUUCUGAGAGGAAGGUCCCCCACACUGGUACUGAGACACGGACCAGACUCCUACGGGAGGCAGCAGUGAGGAAUAUUGGUCAAUGGUCGGGAGACUGAACCAGCCAAGCCGCGUGAGGGAGGAAGGUACAGAGUAUCGUAAACCUCUUUUGUCAGGGAACAAAGACUGGGACGCGUCCCCGGAUGAGUGUACCUGAAGAAAAAGCAUCGGCUAACUCCGUGCCAGCAGCCGCGGUAAUACGGAGGAUGCGAGCGUUAUCCGGAUUUAUUGGGUUUAAAGGGUGCGCAGGCGGUCUGUUAAGUCAGCGGUCAAAGCCCGGGGCUCAACCCCGGCCCGCCGUUGAAACUGGCAGUCUCGAGUUGGAGAGAAGUAUGCGGAAUGCGCGGUGUAGCGGUGAAAUGCAUAGAUAUCGCGCAGAACUCCGAUUGCGAAGGCAGCAUGCCGGCUCCACACUGACGCUGAGGCACGAAAGCGUGGGUAUCGAACAGGAUUAGAUACCCUGGUAGUCCACGCAGUAAAC